rnacentral:rRNA from 1 species
ACGUCUCAGUUCGGAUGCAGGCUGCAACUCGCCUGCAUGAAGCUGGAAUUGCUAGUAAUCGUGGAUCAGCAUGCCACGGUGAAUACGUUCCCGGGCCUUGUACACACCGCCCGUCACACCAUGAGAGUCGGGAACACCCGAAGUCCGUAGUCUAACCGCAAGGAGGGCGCGGCCGAAGGUGGGUCUGGUAAUUGGGGUGAAGUCGUAACAAGGUACC